AUCUGCGUGACCUUCCUUGGCGGCGCAGAGUAAAGCGGACCAGUUAUCCGCAUCCGCCGCAUUUGGAUCCGCUCCCAUUUCGAGCAGUUCCCGAACGAAACGGUUAAGACACACUCGAGAAAUUUUCCAUUACCUCAUCGCGAUCGUCGAUUUGCACCUGUUUCCCCUGCAGGAAUUGCUGGAAGCCUUCAAAGUUAUCAUCGCUGAUAAAUCCAGUCAACGAACGGAAGCAAAUCGACACCAUCGAUUCGGAUCGAUGGAGCGUCUACAAAAAUCGAAGGUAAACGGUAUCAACAUUUGUCGUCGACGACACACUUGAUAAACAUCAAGGUAAUUAUUAAUAAACAGCAAAUUUAAUACAGAACGGGAUAACCACCUCCAGAAAAAACUUCACUGCAGUGCUGGUAGUCAUUGUUACGGUCCAUAAACAAGAUUAUUGAAACAUUCACAUACACAACACAUUAAUUAAUUAUUUAGUCCGCUAAACACGAGUGCAACAGACACACAAAUCGUGUAGGUACUUAGUUAGAAAGACAAAAUUUAAGCCCGUGCUUUUAAUACCGAGCGCAUGUGUCGCGAUAACUAAAUAAAUAUUAAGCAAGGAACAGAGAGAUGGAAAUUCACAAAACCGAAUUGAAAACUAAAAAAAACUUAGUAACAAACGCCUCCCACGCGCGUAUUUCACUCGAAUAUAUAAUACUGAAGUGAAAACGGCGAAUUUCAUGCCAACUUCCUGGCGAAUAAAUAAAUAUGUCGUAAAGAAAUCCAUUUUAAUGACAUAAAAACACACGCAGAAAGUGGACAAAUAACAAUACGAUAUUUACACGAUAUAUAAAUAUCUCGUUAUCGUGAUGCUACGUUUAUUUAACGAUUACUCGGUUCUGGAAACAAAUUAUCCUGAUGCACUAAUUUCUAGUGGCCAAGUCAAGUAGGUAUGUAGUUAAGCCAAGUUUGUGCACUCUGCAAAUAUUUAUUUUGGAAGCCUUGGCUGAAAUUGAGCGUAGACGAGACACAAGUGCAAUAUAAAUCAUAACUCAUUGAAAACUGUUGUUACGUUAUCGCCGCUUGUUUCAUCUCAAGCCAGAAGCGUGUAUUAAUAAAACAAGAAAGCAAAUGUGCACACAGUUAGUGUACCACCUAGAAUAGUGUUAAAAAACGUGUAGAUAGUGUGACAAUAAAUUGAAAUAACAGUGGAGCGUGACGAAAAUGUGCGAUUAGUGUCACAAUACAAGUAAAAACGGUUAAAGAAAUAAAAAUCAAAGAAAACCAAAGAUAAACCACGAGAGAGGGUACGUAAGUGCUAGUACGCAAGCGCACAACUAACGUUGUGCGAAUGUCGACGCAGGCCCAGCCCGCCAAACGUGAACCACGGCGACUGCGAUGACCCGCCAUCGGGGGCGGUGAGUGAAAACGACGGCAGAUGUAAAUGCGUUAGGGAACCUCUCCAAUUGCUCGCAUCUGGUAUAUUCAGAUGCAGGAACGAGGGCCGUCGUCGUCCGCCUUCCUUCGCGGAGGAUGACGUAGAACCACCACCGUUGCUGUCGUCAACAUUCAAAGAUGGCGUCGUGAUGUUUACGGCAGCGAUACUAUGGCGUACUUUUUUCGUCGCUUGUGACGCCUGUGCUCCUUGUUGUUGCGUGAGCAUUGUUGGCGAAGCGGGUGGUGCCAUCGCUGAGAACGUAGGCAGCGAUGGCAGGUCGGCAACUGAAUCGGCCGACAUUUUAUCAACUGAUUUGUUUGUGUUGAUUACAAGGUGUGAAUUAAAGCGAUGAGAUAGAGACAUAAAAGAAAAGAAAAAUAGAAAAAACACAUUGAAACGCAGACAGUGGCAAGAAACACAGAACCAGAAACAAUACUUAACUUAAAAGAAAGCUUCACGUUGAUAAUAAAUAAUUUAUGUAUGUUGUAAUGAUAUUCGAGUAAACAAAGUAAGUGUACAUAUCGAUUUGUCAUGUUUUUCAAAAAAUUUCAGUUUUAAUAAUAAUUAUUUAUAGCUACUCAUCAAUUAAACAAAUUAAAUUCUAUAUUUAACUACGGAAAAACGAACGAAUCUGAAUACUAUUCAAAAAGUUAUAAACAAUUGAAUUUGAUGCUCAAAGCAAAAAGUUUAAAAAAUGAUUUCAAUUGGUCGGCAUGUUCUGAUUAAACAAUGUUAUCAAUAAAAUCCUUUGUUACUAAGAUUCGAAAUUUAAUUGUGAAUAGAUUUAUAAAAGUUUCAUUAAUUUCCGUUAAUUAACUUUCGCGUAAUUAAAGAAUUACUAAAACUAUUAUACCGACACGUCGCGACAUUUAAUAAAAGAACAAUACACACUCGAUGAAUUAUGUCAUUAUGAAUUGUUCAAAAUAUGACAAUAAAAAUUUACUGCAUUGCAAUGAACAAAAAAACAAAAGAUAACAUUUUACGUAAACACGUCAGAAUUGCUUCAAUAAAAGAUAGAGGAUAGUGAAACGUGAGCAACGCACCUACAUACAACGUCAAAAUAAUGAUCGAAGUAAUAAAAUAAGUAUGCUUACGACAUUAUAGUUUGUUGGUCGUGGCCGUCUUAGCGUGCUCGUGCGCAACUUCUUAUACAUUUUACUAGUCAUUUUCGCGUCUUCCUCAACAACGUGUUUAUUUGUUUAGACUAACAUUAACACACAUCAACACUUGCUCCAGUAUACUGCAUUACAUAAUACCAAACAGCUGAUUGCUAUUAAAAUGAGCAUGACACCAAUAUAUUGCGAAUGAAAUAAAAUAAUCAAAUGUUCACUUCGCGAUUCGCUCGCUAUUCGCGCCCGACAGACACUGCACUAGCGUAUGAAUGAACAAGCAGAUGACACCUCUAUCAUUAUCAACAGCGAUUUUCCGCAGGUAUGCGAGCAUAGCGCGCGGCGUGUCAGUGUUCGCUCGCAUGUAAGCAACUAUUGAUUGUAUUUAUUUGUCGGCUUAUCGUACAUUCCGCGGUGUGUUUAUCGAGGCGAUAAAUCUCGGCGCUCGAUCGUUGCUUUUACCAGUUCGGACGGAAUGAUACAGAGUGAGUCCUCAUCAAUAGUGAGUUAAUUAUAGCGCCUCCGCCAUCGGCAACAUGUUUUUUUUCAUCACUGAUAAGCGCGUGAUAGUGAAUCAACACUUUAGAUGACUACAUUGCAACUACAGACAAGUACCUGUUAUGUCGACACUCAUUCAGAGAGAGUCUGAUUAAUAAUUGUUAAUUUAUUAAUUGAUAAAUACAAUUACCUGCGAGAGUUUUAGUUUCUUGGCGACUUUAAACAUUUUAUUCGACAUUUUACGAGCGAUUCACUUAAUUAUUAAACAUGGUAACGUACAAGUCAGCAAUCACUUAAAGAAUAACAUCUUUCGUGCACCGAUGGACUUAUUUAUACCUCGGGUACGUAAAUCGUCGAAACACGCACCGUUAAUAUUGUCAAAUGGUCAAUCGCAAUCACAAGUCUUUAGUUGUUUAGUUGAAUGCCCGCCUGAUUCUAUUAUUUGAACAAACACAAUAAUAAUAAGUCAUAAUAUACCUCGAAAGCGAUGCAAUUAAAAUAGGAAACAACUUAAUGCAAUAAUAAUAUAAUCAUAAUUUCACGGAUAACAAAAAACGUUGGUUAGUUAAUUUAGUCAUUUUUACAAAUUUAUUUCGAUAACCACUUAAUUGUUUCUAGUUUUAUUAUUAAUCGCUAUCAUGUUGUAAACUUGGACGUUUAAACCAAUUUUCGAUGAUUCAGAGUUUUUAAGUCAAAUCGCGAGUCACACUUGAUUUAAACUGACCGUCUUGAAUUAUUGGGUAUGUAAGUACACGCGCAUUGCUCAAUCGUGUAAUAAGUGAGCCAAAUGGUGACAGGCGAAACAAUUAAGAGGCGUACGCACGCAGCGACGAGAAGAAGCACAAGUGCCUUAUGAUUUAUGACGUCCGCGCGGCGAAUGCGUUUUAAUAAGUGUCCGGCUACUACACACUUCUAAUCGCGCACGAUUGUCGCAUACACGUUUUUUAUUCCAACACAAUACCGUAAUAACAAUAAGUUAGGUCUUGAAUGGAAAUAAUGACGUUUAAUGCAACGAUUUUGAGUAUAAAUCGUUGAAUUAUUGAAAUUUUGCUUAGCAACUUAAAAAAAUCAAAAUUAAAACUCCUAAUAAUCUUUGACUUUAUCUAAAUACAAUUGACGUCAUGAUUUUCGAAGAUAAUUCAAUGUCAUAGGAUAAUAAAUUAAAUGUAAACAAAUUUAUAAAUUUUGUUAUUAUAAAAACGCAAAAAAUAAAAUUAUUUUAUGAAAUUACCUGUGAUGAUCGUAGUGUGGCCUUAACAAAAUGAUAAUACGGAAAUAAUGACCCAUAACUUUUGGCUGGAGCGACAAUCAACGGCACACGUUCAGUAUUUUCUUUUUUCUUGACUUUCCUGCCAUCUUUCCGCUCCCUUUGACUUCCUUUAUACGAUGAUGUGCUACUUUUACUACUAGUGCUACUCUUCGAUGACAUUAUUCACGCACAUGUAUCACUACACUACAAAUUUAUGCUUUAAACCAACCCGAGUUGCAAACAAAACGUCCGAUUAUCAGUAAGCAUUUUUGUUUAAAUAAAAUUAAUAUUAAAAUAAGUUUAAGGCCUUUGCAUGAUGCGUUGUGCUACAAUGACGUAGAUACGCAAAUGAAACUCAAAUGUGGAUGCUCUCGCCUUGGCCGCGAUUGUUUACAAACAAUUAAUAAUAUUCCGUACUCGCGUCGUAAACACCACUACCGAAUUGCGUUUAUAGCAAGAAAAUAGAACAUGUGAAACCAGGCAGUAAAUAUACGGCGUGUGGAAUAUUUUCACGAAUCACCAGCAACGUUAUUUCUUAGUUAUUUAGUUAUCAGAUAAGUCGGUGUCGCGAGACGCGUUUAUGAAAUGUGAUCGAACGCAUCAGAACGUUCGAUUGCGACGCAUACGCUGCGAAUCGGAAAUUUAUCCUCAUGUACAUAGUAUACCCAUGUAUCCUUCGUCAAUGCACUACUACGUUAUUAAACGCGUGCGAGACGAAACGUACAAAUGAUAAGCACUUAUCAAUUCAUCUCUGUAUGUAUUCUACGUUGUCAGACAUUACAUGAACUUGACUCAUUUAAACGCUAUCUGUUGAUUUAUUAUAGGCAACCCAACAUACAUUCAUUAUGUAUAUAAUCUCCCACUUUCGAUUUUAUUAUGAUUAUUGUUGUUAUUACAUACCUCAGAAAAACGUCGUACAUCUGAUAUACGUCGCACUAAAUCAUUACUAGUGUUUGUCCAUUUUUCUUUCAAUUCUUUCCAAGAAAAGGUUGAAUUUGUUGUUAAAUUGGGCACUGGUCUAUACCGAUCAAUGGAACCCAACGAGAAACGUUUAGUGUACAAAUGCGACAUUAUUACUAUUAUCGGCAAUUGAGAUUAGUUUCGCGUUUUAAUAGGAUAUAAAAUAAUUGUAUGCAAAUUCGUUGAUAGUGGAAACUGUAAUGCAGUAGUGUAAAGUUGGAGCGAUAGUGAGACUUUGGUGUGACUUUUGCUUAACACGCUUUUAUUAGCGGGAAUAUGAUGAUUUUAUGUACAAACAUGCAUGCUUACUUUCAGUACCUGUGAAAUCACUUAAAACACACACGUGUAUUCAUAAUCACGAUUUGUAGGCGUCCAACAGUCUUUUUCCCCAAUAAAAUGGAAAAUGUUUAAUAAAUCGGAGAUUAAUGUUUGAAUUAUCGUCCGAUAAAGGAAAUUUAAUUGUUUCUAGAAAAUUGAUCAAAUUUGCAGAUUUUGAUAAUCAGGAAUUACCUCCUGUCGACCGCGGGGGAUUAGGACGCACCAGUUACGUCCUGGGUGUCCUGCAACGUGCAUUUAUAAAGUAGUGGGAAAGGGGCGGAUAAAAUAAUAGCAUACAUCUCCAAAGUACGCACUUUGAAACCUCUCAGAUGGGUUUAUUACGGACGUACUGUUGUUACGGAGAAAAAUAUAGCAACCGUCUAUUAAAAUUAUAAUUUACGGUUAUUAUCUAUUCAUAAAAUAAUCUAAGAAUCAUUAAAUGAUUCCAUAAUAAAAAUAUGAUCUAUGCUCUAAAAAUAUUGCAAAACGUGAUAUGCAAAACUAUAUUUUGCUUGCAUUAUUUUAAGAAACACACAUGCUAUUGCUAUUUGCAUAUUGUAAAUAUUUGCGCAAGUGACGAAUACGUCUAGAGCAAAACAACUCGAUUAUUUUCACAUGUGUAUAGCAUGUCUGCAAAUGAAAUUAUCCUGUGCAAAGAAUGCAUAAACAAAUACGAUAUGUACCCAAUUGAAACUGCAUAUAUUCAAUGAAAGGCAUGUAAAUGUAAAUUAAAGAGAAUGUGAGGUUAUCAGACAUACCUUUCUG